CACUCUGGUGGCCUAGUGGUUCGAGUGUUUGCCUUGGAUGCGGGAGGUCGUGGGUUCGAUUCACAGUUGAGUCA